rnacentral:lncRNA from 1 species
CUUUGGGGAGUUGAAACAUCUGCACUUUCUCAGCAGUUUGAAAGGAAACAAAAAAUUGCCAAGUGGUAUAAAAUUUGAAGAAAAAUUACCCAAAGGAGGAAUGGACGUUAACCACGCUUCAAUUCCCCACUAUGGGUUGACAUUUGAAGUACUUUCUUCUCUCCUCUUUCUUUCUGAUUCACAGUGUGUCUAAAGAGGUGAAUUGGGCACACAAAACCCAACCUCCUCUUGCCAGGAUGGUUGUUCACACAAGGAGCCGGGUCUGCAUAAUUGUAUCACUAAUCAGCAGAAAGGCAAUUAGUUGUGGCAAAAGUUGCUGCCACUUCAGACCCGUGAAGUUCAUAGGGUGGUUAACGAAAUGUCAGCGGUGAUUGAGC